rnacentral:lncRNA from 1 species
UAAAGACACCCUGUGCCAGUGUGUGUGGCGGGCAGGCGGGUCACGCGGCCACUUCCCCUGAAUGGCUCCAAUGUGCUCCUCUCCAGGAUCCCUGUCCCCAGGGGAAGAGGGAGGCCGGGCCUGAAUGGCCCAGUGUCCUCCACUCAGGGAGGAGAAGCCUCCCAGCAUUCACCGGGGAACUCCCCGCCGGUGAGAAAGCAGCUCUCAGGGAAGGUGGGGGAGGGUGGCAAGGAGCAGGUGCAUCGCAUCGCAGCCAUCUACCCCGGAGAUCGGCUGGCCGUUGCGAAGGUCUGCUAACUACGGAGACAGCCAGAGAGCCCGAGCGGUGGAGACAGCCAGAGAGCCCGAGCGGUGGCGACAGCCCUCACCGCGGCCCGGGUUGGGAUCCUGAUGUGGCUUCUCCCAGGCCAGGCCAGGAAGCCCAGAGUUUCUGCUCCACUUCUGGCCUCUGAGGAUAGAGGGACACGGAGGACAUCCGGGGAGGGAAGGUCUGCUCCAAGGGUGCCGAUUCAUCUGAAUUAGAGCCAGGAAAGGAUGCGGCCAAAUUGCCUCUUUUAAAGCUAAAUAAAUGAAAAUGUAAAGAAGGUAAGUGACUCGUCCAAGGUGGCUAUCUAAGUCUUUUUUCCUGUCACUGUAACAAAAUGCCACAGACUGGUCAUUUAUAAAGGCAAGAAGUUUAUUUAGCUUGCAUUUCAAGAGGCCUGAAGUCCACACCUGACAAG